GCGCAUUUGGUGAAAAAGGUAAACACGACGGAUUUAAAAUCCGUUCCUAUUGGUUAUUGGUUCAAGUCCAAUAAUGCGCA
rfam:Marchantia polymorpha mitochondrion, complete genome.